GGAUAUGAGGGCGAUCUGGCUGCGACACCCGUCAUCCCACUGAUCGCCAGGGUUGAUUCGGCUGAUCUGGCUGGCGAGGCCAGUGUCCCGUUCCUUCCUCACUGUUUCCUGUGCCUCCCUCCCAAAGCUGCGGCUCAAUCGAAGAGGACGACCAUACCCAAGAGAGGAGUUGGGCUCCCCUACUAGAACCUCCAAACAAGUUCUCAAGGUCCAUUUGUAGGAGAAUGUAGGGUAGUCAAGCUUCCAAGAUUCCAGACACAUGAGGCGCUGCAUGUGGCAAUCUGCCUUUCUAG
rnacentral:snRNA from 1 species